rnacentral:rRNA from 1 species
UGCCAGCCGCCGCGGUAAUACGGAGGGGGUUAGCGUUGUUCGGAGUUACUGGGCGUAAAGCGCACGUAGGCGGAUUAGUAAGUUAGGGGUGAAAUCCCGGGGCUCAACCUGGGCAUUGCAACUAAGACUGUAUAACUCGAGUAUGGGAGAGGGCAGUGGAGUUUCCGGUGUAGCGGUGAAAUGCGUAGAGAUCGGAAGGAACACCAGUGGCGAAGGCGGCUGCCUGGCCCAAUACUGACACUGAGGCACGAAAGCGUGGGUAGCAAACAGGAUUAGAUA